UACGUAGGGGGCAAGCGUUGUCCGGAUUUAUUGGGCGUAAAGAGCGUGUAGGCGGUUUGGUAGGUCCGUUGUGAAAACUCGAGGCUCAACCUCGAGACGCCGGCGGAAACCAUCAGGCUAGAGUCCGGAAGAGGAGAGUGGAAUUCCUGGUGUAGCGGUGAAAUGCGCAGAUAUCAGGAGGAACACCGAUGGCGAAGGCAGGUCUCUGGGCUGACACUGACGCUCAUGCACGAAAGCGUGGGGAGCAAACAGG
rnacentral:rRNA from 1 species